UAGCGACAAGCAUUGCACGACAACAUUACUCCGGCUAUUAAAAGUACUCCUGUAAAAUGGUACGUGGCAUCAUCCCAGCGAGGCCAAUUCUCCUGUAAAAUGCUACGUGGCAUCAUCACUCACCUGUUUUCAAGGUCGCUGGGACUCGCUCCACUCCUGCCUCGCUGGGAUAUUGCCACGUACCAUUUUACAGGAGUACUUUUAGUCGCCGGAAUAAUGUUGUCGUGCAAUGCUUGUCGGUAAAUUACGUGCUUUUUAAUGCCAUUUGUCUUGUUAUAACACACUGUAAUACUCCACAGUAGGCAAAAAAUAAAAUAAAACCAUUAAUAAUUUGAGCAAGUGGCACCUCCGAGGCUGUGUCAAUACAACCGUCUUUCCUUCACCUCAGGAUAUGAAUUUAGUGUGGAUACACACCGUGUGUGUGUGUGUGUGUGUGUGUGUGUGUGUGUGCACAGUCCCUGCAACACACACUGACAGGAAUGGUACAUCGCUGCAGUGCUACACGUCCCCGUGGGUGCCGUGAGGACACAGGCGUGCACCACACGGCUGCCUGGCUGCCCAGUGGUGGGUCUCGUGUUGUCUGGCGUGGACGAGAGGCUGCUGGAGGGAGGCGGUCCAGAUAGCACAGCUCCUGCAGCCCACACAGCGCCCAUACCGCCGCAUCAGGUUCCCCGGCAGCAGCAUGAAGGCAGAUGUGCGGCGGCGCUGCCUUCACAAGCUGGCCAAUGCCGGCGUCACGGUGAUGCGUGGUGCUGGUGGUAUUGUAGCACCGGACACCAGCCCCAUCACGGAGGAGGAGGAGAGGGAGCUGCACACCCUUGCCAGCACCACGAUGUUAGGUGCCUUCACCAGAGUGUCUGAAGAGCGCCUGUGGCAGUUACUGUAUUACCCGUGACGGUCAGACUCAUCAGUGCUGGAAGUGCAUCCACCCACGAGGCAAACACCUGGGCUGCAUUUAUCCUACUGCAUUGUGUGUGUACAAGUCUACAGUGUGGCGCUCUCUCUCUCUCUCUCUCUCUCUCUCUCUCUCUCUCUCUCUCUCUCUCUCUCUCUCUCUCUCUCUGAUGAUUUAAAUUAUAUUCUUAAGUUAGGUAGAAUUAUUAAGUUUUGAUGUAGUCUCUCUCUCUCUCCCUCUCUCUCUCUCUCUCUCUCUCUCUCUCUCUCUCUCUCUCUCUCUCUCUCUCUCUCUGAUGAUUCAAAUUAUAUUCUUAAGUUAGGUAGAAUUAUUAAGUCUUGAUGUAGUCUCUCUCUCUCUCUCUCUCUCUCUCUCUCUCUCUCUCUCUCUCUCUCUCUCUCUCUCUCUCUCUCUCUCUCUCUCUCUCUCUCUCUCUCUCUCUCUCUCUCUCUCUCUCUCUCUCUCUCUCUCUCUAAUGAUUAAAAUUAUAUUCUUAAGUUUGUUAGAAUUCUUAAGUCUUGAUGUCUCUCUCUCUCUCUCUCUCUCUCUCUCUCUCUCUCUCUCUCUCUCUCUCUCUCUCUCUGAUGAUUUAAAUUAUAUUCUUAAGUUUGUUAGAAUUCUUCAGUCUUGAUGUCUCUCUCUCUCUCUCUCUCUCUCUCUCUCUCUGAUGAUUGAAAUUAUAUUCUUAAGUUUGUUAGAAUUCUUAAGUCUUGAUGUAGUUUCUCUCUCUCUCUCUCUCUCUCUCUCUCUCUCUCUCUCUCUCUCUCUCUCUCUCUCUCUCUCUCUCUCUGAUGAUUGAAAUUAUAUCCCUAAGUUUGUUAGAAUACUUAAGUCUUGAUGUAGUUUCUCUCUCUCUCUCUCUCUCUCUCUCUCUCUCUCUCUCUCUCUCUCUCUCUCUCUCUCUCUCUCUCUCUCUCUCUCUCUCUCUCUCUCUCUCUCUCUCUCUCUCUCUCUCUCUCUCUCUCUCUCUCUCUCUCUCUCUCUCUCUCUCUGAUGAUUCAAAUUAUAUUCUGAAGUUUGUUAGAAUUCUUAAGUCUUGAUGUAGUCUCUCUCUCUCUCUCUCUCUCUCUCUCUCUCUCUCUCUCUCUCUCUCUCUCUCUCUCUCUCUCUCUCUCUGUUUCUGUUUCUGUGUGUGUGUGUGUGUGUGUGUGUGUGUGUGUGUGUGUGUGUGUGUGUCCGUGGUGGUGUUUGGGUCAAGUUGUGUCGGUAAGGUGGUGGCGAGUGUGAGUGUGAAGUGUUGGUGUACAGUGUGUGUGAGAGCCAAGUGUCAGUUAGAAUCACGUUAGUAGAAGCAAAGUUGUGGUGCAGUUUGCAAUGAUUGUUGAUGGUGCACGUGCAGUUUUCCUCGUGGCAAAGUUCACGCCAGAAGUGAGAGAGUCAAGUCACCACAAGACAAGGCUCAGUGUUCUGUCGUGAAGUCUGCGGUGACUGCUGCUGUCACUUCCCACCUGCAGUAUAUACCUUUUAGUAAAGUUUAUUUACAAGUUGUAAGUCACCACAAGCCCGGGACUCAACACUCUAUUCUUUAGUGCCUGAUGAUUCUUAAUUGUUCAUCUGCAGUUUGUGUUGCAGCAACGGUUGCGCCAAAACUAUGUUAGUGCGCGCCGAGGAUGCAAGAUGAUUGUCAGUGUUGCGUGCGGUGCGUGUGUUUAGGCCAAGUGUAAGUGACGGCUGAGUUAGUGCAAGAUAAGGCUGAGUAGUGUUCUGUUCUGAAGUGUGAGGCGGUUCUUGGGGUCACUUCCCACCUGCAGUAUGUCUUGUGGCAAAGUUGAAGCUGAGAAUUAAGUUAGUACAAGCGGAGGAUUCAAGUGAUUUGGUUCACCUCACGGUGAUUCUUAAUGUUUGUUGCACCUGCUGUUUGUCUUUAGGCUAAGUUAAGUUACAACUAAGCUGAGUUACAACCACAAGUUGAGGGUGAAGGCUGCUGCUGCUGCUGCUGCUGCUGCUGCUGCUGCUGCUGCUGCUGCUGCAUGCAGUCUUCACCUCAACUUGGUCAGGUUGAUGCUUUCUUCAUUUCUGUGUUGAGUUUUAAGUUUACUACAAGUGGUGGCAGGUUUGUCACGUUCUCGUAAGUGGAUGCACGGGUGUGAGUGUGGCGGUGGUGGUGGUGGUGAGAGCCGUGCAUUCCCCAGGGAAGGGGAACGCCCGCCACGUGCAAGUGUGGCGAGGAGCUUCACCACAAACACUGUAUUCUCUGUACCACACAUGGCUGAUUCCCUCAUUAAAAGCUGUAGUACAA